rnacentral:lncRNA from 1 species
ACGUAUUCCCUUGUUCUCUAGGUGGGCUCCUGAUUGCUGAAACUUGAAUGUAUUCCCUUGUUAUCCAAGUGGGCUCCUGAUUGCCGAAACUUGAAUGUAUUCCCUUGUUCUCCAGGUGGGCUCCUGAUUGCUGAACUUGAAAUGUAUUCCCUUGCUCUCUAGGUGGGCUCCUGAUUUCAACAAAAAUAGACAAAACAAAGAAUAUUUUCUGCCCCAGUUUGGUAGCUGGGUACAUAUGUGAUUGUUAACCCGUUCAUAUUACCAAAUAUCAAUAAGAACUUGAAAGCUGAAACUUGAAUUGUAUUCCCUUGCUCUCCAGGUGGGAUCCUGAUUGCCGAACUUGAAUUUUAUUCCCUUGUUCUCCAGGUGGGCGCCUGAUUGUUGAACUUGAAUGUAUUCCCUUGCUCUCCAAGUGGGCACCUGAUUGCUGAACUUGAAUGUAUUCCUUUGCUCUCCAGGUGGGCGCCUGAUUGCUGAACUUGAA